rnacentral:rRNA from 1 species
UACGAAGGGGGCAAGCGUUGUUCGGAAUUACUGGGCGUAAAGAGCGCGUAGGCGGCGCGGUACGACCGCUGUGAAAGCCCCCAGCUCAACUGGGGAGGGUCAGCGGUAACGGCCGUGCUAUGAGUGCAGGAGAGGGAAGUGGAACUCCGGGAGUAGCGGUGAAAUGCGUAGAGACCCGGAGGAACACCAGUGGCGAAGGCGGCUUCCUGGUCUGCGACUGACGCUGUGGCGCGAAAGCUAGGGGAGCAAACGGG